rnacentral:rRNA from 1 species
GCAUGGGGGCACCCUGACGCAGCAACGCCGCGUGAAGGAUGAAGGUUUUCCNNAUUGUAAACUUCUUUUAUUAAGGACGAAAAAUGACGGUACUUAAUGAAUAAGCUCCGGCUAACUACGUGCCAGCAGCCGCGGUAAUACGUAGGGAGCAAGCGUUGUCCGGAUUUACUGGGUGUAAAGGGUGCGUAGGCGGCUUUGCAAGUCAGAUGUGAAAUCUAUGGGCUCAACCCAUAAACUGCAUUUGAAACUGUAGAGCUUGAGUGAAGUAGAGGCAGGCGGAAUUCCCCGUGUAGCGGUGAAAUGCGUAGAGAUGGGGAGGAACACCAGUGGCGAAGGCGGCCUGCUGGGCUUUAACUGACGCUGAGGCACGAAAGCGUGGGUAGCAAACAGGAUUAGAUACCCUGGUAGUCCAAGGGCGAAUUC